UGCCAGAGGUGACAAUAAGGGCAUCUG
rnacentral:piRNA from 1 species